rnacentral:rRNA from 1 species
AAUCCAUAGGUUAAUGAGGCGAACCGGGGGAACUGAAACAUCUAAGUACCCCGAGGAAAAGAAAUCAACCGAGAUUCCCCCAGUAGCGGCGAGCGAACGGGGAGGAGCCCAGAGCCUGAAUCAGCAUGUGUGUUAGUGGAAGCGUCUGGAAAGGCGCGCGAUACAGGGUGACAGCCCCGUACACAAAAGCGCAUGUGCUGUGAGCUCGAUGAGUAGGGCGGGACACGUGGUAUCCUGUCUGAAUAUGGGGGGACCAUCCUCCAAGGCUAAAUACUCCUGACUGACCGAUAGUGAACCAGUACCGUGAGGGAAAGGCGAAAAGAACCCCGGCGAGGGGAGUGAAAAAGAACCUGAAACCGUGUACGUACAAGCAGUGGGAGCACAGGUUUACCUGUGUGACUGCGUACCUUUUGUAUAAUGGGUCAGCGACUUAUAUUCUGUAGCAAGGUUAACCGUAUAGGGGAGCCGUAGGGAAACCGAGUCUUAACCGGGCGUUAAGUUGCAGGGUAUAGACCCGAAACCCGGUGAUCUAGCCAUGGGCAGGUUGAAGGUUGGGUAACACUAACUGGAGGACCGAACCGACUAAUGUUGAAAAAUUAGCGGAUGACCUGUGGCUGGGGGUGAAAGGCCAAUCAAACCGGGAGAUAGCUGGUUCUCCCCGAAAGCUAUUUAGGUAGCGCCUCGUGAAUUCAUCUCCGGGGGUAGAGCACUGUUUCGGCUAGGGGGCCAUCCCGGCUUACCAACCCGAUGCAAACUGCGAAUACCGGAGAAUGUUAUCACGGGAGACACACGGCGGGUGCUAACGUCCGUCGUGAAGAGGGAAACAACCCAGACCGCCAGCUAAGGUCCCAAAGUCAUGGUUAAGUGGGAAACGAUGUGGGAAGGCCCAGACAGCCAGGAUGUUGGCUUAGAAGCAGCCAUCAUUUAAAGAAAGCGUAAUAGCUCACUGGUCGAGUCGGCCUGCGCGGAAGAUGUAACGGGGCUAAACCAUGCACCGAAGCUGCGGCAGCGAACGUAUCACCCAAGACAACUUUGCGGAGUUGACGAUUGACGGAGCGAAGCGACGUCAAAGCGUUCAUUAAAGUCGAGUUGGCUUAGGGAUACGUUCGUUGGGUAGGGGAGCGUUCUGUAAGCCUGUGAAGGUGGCCUGUGAGGGUUGCUGGAGGUAUCAGAAGUGCGAAUGCUGACAUAAGUAACGAUAAAGCGGGUGAAAAGCCCGCUCGCCGGAAGACCAAGGGUUCCUGUCCAACGUUAAUCGGGGCAGGGUGAGUCGACCCCUAAGGCGAGGCCGAAAGGCGUAGUCGAUGGGAAACGGGUUAAUAUUCCCGUACUUGGUGUUACUGCGAAGGGGGGACGGAGAAGGCUAUGUUGGCCGGGCGACGGUUGUCCCGGUUUAAGCGUGUAGGUGUGUGUUCCAGGUAAAUCCGGUUCACUUUAACACUGAGGCGUGACGACGAGGCACUACGGUGCUGAAGCAACAAAUGCCCUGCUUCCAGGAAAAGCCUCUAAGCAUCAGGUAACAUCAAAUCGUACCCCAAACCGACACAGGUGGUCAGGUAGAGAAUACCAAGGCGCUUGAGAGAACUCGGGUGAAGGAACUAGGCAAAAUGGUGCCGUAACUUCGGGAGAAGGCACGCUGACACGUAGGUGAAGUGAUUUACUCAUGGAGCUGAA